UGCAGUCGACGGAAGGCCCUUUCGGGGGUACUCGAGUGGCGAACGGGUGAGUAACACGUGGGUGAUCUGCCCUGCACUUUGGGAUAAGCCUGGGAAACUGGGUCUAAUACCGAAUACACCCUGCUGGUCGCAUGGCCUGGUGGGGGAAAGCUUUUGCGGUGUGGGAUGGGCCCGCGGCCUAUCAGCUUGUUGGUGGGGUGAUGGCCUACCAAGGCGACGACGGGUAGCCGGCCUGAGAGGGUGUCCGGCCACACUGGGACUGAGAUACGGCCCAGACUCCUACGGGAGGCAGCAGUGGGGAAUAUUGCACAAUGGGCGCAAGCCUGAUGCAGCGACGCCGCGUGGGGGAUGACGGCCUUCGGGUUGUAAACCUCUUUCACCAUCGGCGAAGCCCAUAGCUUUUGUUGUGGGUGACGGUAGGUGGAGAAGAAGCACCGGCCAACUACGUGCCAGCAGCCGCGGUAAUACGUAGGGUGCGAGCGUUGUCCGGAAUUACUGGGCGUAAAGAGCUCGUAGGUGGUUUGUCGCGUUGUCCGUGAAAUUCCCUGGCUUAACUGGGGGCGUGCGGGCGAUACGGGCAGACUAGAGUACUGCAGGGGAGACUGGAAUUCCUGGUGUAGCGGUGGAAUGCGCAGAUAUCA
rnacentral:rRNA from 1 species